CUCCGGCUCCUCGCGCUGCUGCUGAGCGCAGCCGCAACCCUGGUGCAGCAAGUGCAGCCCCGGGAGCCCCGUGCUGAGGUUUCCCCAAACAUUGAGUCCACGCUGCAUGCAGGGGUGAGCUGGUUUACUGAGGGGACAGCAGGCAGGGGGUGGCAGCAUGCAGGGCAGGGCUUGUGUGUGCCCCGUGCCACCAACACAAGGUGUGCCUGCCCACCGCCACGACCUGCGGGGCCAGGGGGGCUGCACAGAGCACAGAAACCCCAGGCAGAAAGGAGACAAGUUUGGGAAGUGGCCCACAAAGUGAUGCCAUCACCCUGCCAUGAGUGAUGCUGCCAGGGGACCCCAUCCCCGCCAGCCCCCCGAGCUGCUGGGUGGUCACCGAGCCUGUCCCUGGUGGCACCAAGGAGCCCCCAGCCCUUGGCCUGGCCCCGGCUCACCCCGGUGGUCCCAGGCCCUGUGGAGCAUCCCUGUGCCGGGGCAGCCCCUGGGGACCCGAAGCGCCGGGGCCGGGGAGCCAUGGCAACCCGGCGAGGAUGGGGGUUGCCAUGGUGACGGGAGGCGCAGCAUCCGGAGCGGCUUCGGGCGAGGGAUGCUCCAGCAUUUCCCAGCACCACCAUACAGAAGGGGACAGCAUCACCGGGAACCCCGCAGCGUGCGCCCCACGGCUCUGCGCGGCCCCAUUACGCACCAACCCUGCUGGGACUUCCCAAGGGCUCAUCCUCCGCACGGCGCCCAGCUCCGGAGCCAGGAAAUGUGGCGGGGCUGUGCCGCCAGCGUGUGCCGGCGAAGCGGGCUCGCGAGCGCUCGCAGCGAUUCCAACGCCCGGAGCUUGCGGCUGGGCUUCGCCUCCUAAGCCUGCUUCCAACUCCUUGCGCGGGGAGCAGCGAUUUGUCUGCAAAUGUAUGCGGUUAAAAUAAACGCCGAGAAUUUUAAUCCUGGGAAUUUGGAAAGUAGGAGAUUUAAAAUAACAAAACCCUUUCAUAUGGCGCUUAAUCCGAAAUUAGAUGGGGUUUUAAGUUGUUGGUUUUUUUUUUUACGGUGGUGACUGGAAGUUCCUCGGCCACCUCCUGCUCACUGUGGGCUGGGGGCAAUUUGGGGUGCCCGGGUGGGGGCUGCUGGGGACCGGCGGCUGGCCCCCGGUGCUGGGGGCGGUGAGGGAGAGCGAGUGCUCUUCUUUGUUGACAUGGAAUGGAUCUCCCAC
rnacentral:lncRNA from 1 species